rnacentral:rRNA from 1 species
UACGUAGGGGGCAAGCGUUGUCCGGAAUCAUUGGGCGUAAAGAGCGUGUAGGCGGUCCGGUAAGUCGGCUGUGAAAGUCCAGGGCUCAACCCUGGGAUGCCGGUCGAUACUGCCGGACUAGAGUUCGGGAGAGGUGAGUGGAACUCCGAGUGUAGAGGUGAAAUUCGUAGAUAUUCGGAAGAACACCAGUGGCGAAGGCGACUUACUGGACACAUAUUGACGCUGAGGUGCGAAAAGCGUGGGGAGCAAACAGG